rnacentral:rRNA from 1 species
CCUACGGGAGGCAGCAGUGGGGAAUGUUGGACAAUGGGGGCAACCCUGAUCCAGCAAUGCCGCGUGUGUGAAGAAGGCCUUCGGGUUGUAAAGCACUUUCACCCGUGAAGAUGAUGACGGUAGCGGGAGAAGAAGCCCCGGCUAACUCCGUGCCAGCAGCCGCGGUAAUACGGAGGGGGCUAGCGUUGUUCGGAAUUACUGGGCGUAAAGGGCGUGUAGGCGGCUUCGCCAGUCAGGCGUGAAAGCCCCGGGCUUAACCUGGGAAUUGCGCUUGAUACUGCGAGGCUAGAGUUCGGGAGAGGAGAGUGGAAUUCCCAGUGUAGAGGUGAAAUUCGUAGAUAUUGGGAAGAACACCAGUGGCGAAGGCGGCUCUCUGGACCGAUACUGACGCUGAGGCGCGAAAGCGUGGGGAGCAAACAGGAUUAGAUACCCUGGUAGUCCACGCCGUAAACGAUGUGUGCUAGACGUUGGGGGUUAGGCCCUCGGUGUCGCAGCUAACGCAUUAAGCACUCCGCCUGGGGAGUACGGCCGCAAGGCUGAAACUCAAAUGAAUU